AGCGAACGCUGGCGGCAGGCUUAACACAUGCAAGUCGAGCGGGCGUAGCAAUACGUCAGCGGCAGACGGGUGAGUAACACGUGGGAACGUACCUUUUGGUUCGGAACAACUGAGGGAAACUUCAGCUAAUACCGGAUAAGCCCUAACGGGGAAAGAUUUAUCGCCGAAAGAUCGGCCCGCGUCUGAUUAGCUAGUUGGGGAGGUAAUGGCUCACCAAGGCGACGAUCAGUAGCUGGUCUGAGAGGAUGAUCAGCCACACUGGGACUGAGACACAGCCCAGACUCCUCCGUGAGGCAGCGGUGGGGGAUAUUGGACAAUGGGGGCAACCCUGGUCCAGCCAUGCCGCGUGAGUGAUGAAGGCCCUAGGGUUGUAAAGCUCUUUUGUGCGGGGAGAUAAUGACGGUACCGCAAGAAUAAGCCCCGGCUAACUUCGUGCCAGCCGCCGCCGUAA
rnacentral:rRNA from 1 species